rnacentral:rRNA from 1 species
GACGAACGCUGGCGGCGUGCUUAACACAUGCAAGUCGAACGGAAAAGCCCUGCUUUUGUGGGGUGCUCGAGUGGCGAACGGGUGAGUAACACGUGAGUAACCUGCCCUUGACUUUGGGAUAACUUCAGGAAACUGGGGCUAAUACCGGAUAGGAGCUCCUGCUGCAUGGUGGGGGUUGGAAAGUUUCGGCGGUUGGGGAUGGACUCGCGGCUUAUCAGCUUGUUGGUGGGGUAGUGGCUUACCAAGGCUUUGACGGGUAGCCAGCCUGAGAGGGUGACCGGCCACAUUGGGACUGAGAUACGGCCCAGACUCCUACGGGAGGCAGCAGUGGGGAAUAUUGCACAAUGGGCGGAAGCCUGAUGCAGCAACGCCGCGUGCGGGAUGACGGCCUUCGGGUUGUAAACCGCUUUCGCCUGUGACGAAGCGUGAGUGACGGUAAUGGGUAAAGAAGCACCGGCUAACUACGUG